AGAGUUUGAUCCUGGCUCAGGAUGAACGCUGGUGGCGUGCCUAACACAUGCAAGUCGAGCGAGGGAGAAAUCCCUAGCGGCGGACGGGUGAGUAACGCGUGGAUAACCUGCCUUAAACAGGGGGAUAACACCGGGAAACCGGUGCUAAUACCGCAUAAAACUAAUUCUAGGCAUCUGGGAAUAGUCAAAGGAGCAAUCCGGUAUAAGAUGGAUCCGCGUCCGAUUAGCUAGUUGGUGGGGUAAAAGCUCACCAAGGCGACGAUCGGUAGCCGAACUGAGAGGUUGAACGGCCACAUUGGGACUGAGAUACGGCCCAGACUCCUACGGGAGGCAGCAGUGGGGAAUAUUGCGCAAUGGGGGAAACCCUGACGCAGCAACGCCACGUGAAGGAUGAAGGCUUUCGGGUUGUAAACUUCUUUGAUUGGGGAAGAGAAAGGACAGUACCCAAAAAACAAGCCACGGCUAACUACGUGCCAGCAGCCGCGGUAAUACGUAGGUGGCAAGCGUUGUCCGGAAUUACUGGGUGUAAAGGGCGUGUAGGCGGGAAUGUAAGUCAGAUGUGAAAUACCGUAGCUCAACUACGGGGCUGCAACUGAAACUAUAUUUCUUGAGUGCUGGAGAGGAAAGUGGAAUUCCUAGUGUAGCGGUGAAAUGCGUAGAUAUUAGGAGGAACACCAGUGGCGAAGGCGGCUUUCUGGACAGUAACUGACGCUGAGGCGCGAGAGCGUGGGGAGCAAACAGGAUUAGAUACCCUGGUAGUCCACGCUGUAAACGAUGGAUACUAGGUGUAGGAGGUAUCGAUUCCUUCUGUGCCGGAGUCAACACAAUAAGUAUCCCACCUGGGGAGUACGGCCGCAAGGUUGAAACUCAAAGGAAUUGACGGGGGCCCGCACAAGCAGUGGAGUAUGUGGUUUAAUUCGAAGCAACGCGAAGAACCUUACCAAGACUUGACAUACUAGUGAAUAAUGUAGAAAUAUAUUAGACCUUCGGGACACUAGAACAGGUGGUGCAUGGUUGUCGUCAGCUCGUGUCGUGAGAUGUUGGGUUAAGUCCCGCAACGAGCGCAACCCUUAUUGUUAGUUGCCAUCAUUAAGUUGGGCACUCUAACGAGACUGCCGGUGACAAAUCGGAGGAAGGUGGGGAUGACGUCAAAUCAUCAUGCCCCUUAUGUCUUGGGCUACACACGUACUACAAUGGCUACAACAGAGGGAAACAAUACUGUGAAGUGGAGUAAAUCCCAAAAAGUAGUCUCAGUUCAGAUUGUGGGCUGAAACCCGCCCACAUGAAGGAGGAAUUGCUAGUAAUGGCAGGUCAGCAUACUGCCGUGAAUACGUUCCCGGGCCUUGUACACACCGCCCGUCACACCAUGAGAGUUGAGAGCACCCGAAGUCAGUAGUUUAACCGAAAGGGGGACGCUGCCGAAGGUGAGAUCGAUGAUUGGGGUGAAGUCGAAACAAGGUA
rnacentral:rRNA from 1 species